GAAGGUAUAGAUCAGUAGUAGAGUGCUUGCUUAGCAUGCACAAAGUCCUGGGGUCAAUCCCCAGUACCUCCA
rnacentral:tRNA from 1 species